UAAUGGUAAAUAAAAAAUAAAAGGAAGAGACGAAAUUACAUUACAAAAAACGAUAUAAAAAAAUGAUUAGGAAAAGAAAGGGGGUAAAAUUAGGUAUAUGGGAUCUAAUCGCUAUAAAACAACUCUUGUCUAUCCUUUGAGGAAUAAUUCUAGAAUCCAAUUGAAUCUAAGACAUGAAUAGUUGGUUUAUGUUAUGUAAGAAACACAUGUAUAUGGGAUAUUAGAUAUUGACUAAUUAU
rnacentral:lncRNA from 1 species